ensembl:lncRNA
UGAAGACAUGUGGCUAAAACAUUUUCUUAAAUAUCCUCCAAGUUUCCCUUUGUUAUUCCGAACCUUCCAGCGGGUGUUUUGCUGAGUGAGUAAGGCUUUACUGCCAGCGUUUGGCGCUCCUGGUCGAUGGAGCUAGACUCCUUCUCACCUGGGACGGGCCCGGUCCAGCCAGGUGCCCCUUCCGGCCUCCCCAGCAGACAGUGCAGUCAGUGGGGGGUAGGGGCUUACGGAGCCCUGUGAUGGUGGAGGACUGGGGAACUGGACCUCUCAGUCCAGUUAAUGAACUCACGGCCUGAGAGUGAGCCCCUCUGUCCUAUCCCUCCUUGCUGGAGGCCAGUGCCUCUGUCAUGCAGGGCUCUGAACCGCAACUACUUAUUGCAGAACGUAAUGCCAUGCAGCGUGGAAGACCCGCUGGGCCUGAGACAAGGAGAUGGAGGGAAUCUUGGAAGAGCAGCUCAGCUUCCAUCUCUGCACCACCCAGCUAGAGAGAGCCAAGCCUGAUUCCCUCACUGCUGGGAACCGUCCUAAUAUCUGUAGCAUUCUUCCUAAAUAUGAUCCAAACAAACCGACUGACCCUCGGGUUGAAGUGUGUAUUAUGAAUCAGUUCACUUGCACGGGCCUGGUGGAAUUCCUUAAGCAUCAUGCGGGCCUGAGAGCGGAGGUGGGCCCUACGGCGGAGGAGAACUUGAGAGACACCGAGCUGCUGGCUACGGAGCUGGAGCAGCUCCGCUCUGAGCUGCUGGCGCUGCAGAGCUCCGACGGGCAGCUGGUGGGCCUGGUGGAGGAGCUCUACGCUGAGGCCCAGCACAGAGCAGCACUGGUAGACAGCCUCCAGGAGGAGCUGCACAGUAAAUCAACGGAGGUCGAGGACCUGCGGAGACACCGGCAGAAACAGAGAGAGGAGCUGGAGCAGCUCCAGAGCGCCCACCAGAGGAAGGUGUGUGUGCUGCAGCAGGAGAACAGCAGCAGUGUUCAGAAGCUGCAGCAGACAGCCGUUCAGUUCGAGCGGCUCUGCAAACAGCAGCGCUACUGGAUGCUCUGUGUCAAAAGGUACAAAGACUGUCUGACGGAGGAGAGGGAGGCGGUGGUUCAGCAGGUCAGUGACCUGGAGCAGACCGUCCUGAAGCCCAGGGGAUGUUCCCACUGCAGCAGACAGUACCACUGCCCCCUGCAGGACAGGGGCAGCAACUCCAGGCAUCGGCACCAGUCUAUGUGUGGUGCAGAGUUCCGGGCUGACCAGCAGGGGGAGCCGUGGUCAGCCCUGUGUGAGGACAAAGUCAUCACUCAG